rnacentral:rRNA from 1 species
UACGUAGGGGGCAAGCGUUGUCCGGAUUUAUUGGGCGUAAAGAGCGUGUAGGCGGUCAGGUAGGUCCGUUGUGAAAACUCGAGGCUCAACCUCGAGACGCCGAUGGAAACCAUCUGACUAGAGUCCGGAAGAGGAGAGUGGAAUUCCCGGUGUAGAGGUGAAAUUCGUAGAUAUCGGGAGGAACACCGGUGGCGAAGGCGGCGACCUGGGUAGAUACUGACGCUGAGGUGCGAAAGCGUGGGGAGCAAACAGG